CUACGCAUCCUACGGGAGGCAGCAUGGGGGAAUAUUUGCACAAUGGGCGCAAGCCUGAUGCAGCCAUGCCGCGUGUAUGAAGAAGGCCUUCGGGUUGUAAAGGUACUUUUCAGCAGUGAGGAAGGUGGGUAUGUUAAUAGCAUAUUCAUUUGACGUUUAGCUGCAGAAGAAGCACCGGCUAACUCCGUGCCAGCAGCCGCGGUAAUACGGAGGGUGCGAGCGUUAAUCGGAAUUACUGGGCGUAAAGCGCAUGCAGGUGGUUUGUUAAGUCAGAUGUGAAAGCCCGGGGCUCAACCUCGGAAUUGCAUUUGAAACUGGCAAACUAGAGUACUGUAGGAGGGGGUAGAAUUUCAGGUGUAGCGGUGAAAUGCGUAGAGAUCUGAAGGAAUACCGGUGGCGAAGGCCGGCCCCCUGGACAGAUACUGACACUCAGAUGACGAAAGCGGUGGGGAGACAAACAGGAUUAGAUACCCUGGUAG
rnacentral:rRNA from 1 species